GGCGCGGCCGCAGCUUGACCACGGGAGAAGCAAAAGUUUCGCUAAACCACUCCCUCCUGCGCGAAAGGCCGCGCGUCCCUUCGGCGCGCGCUGCGCCUGCCUUGGCGCGGGCAGGACUGGAAAGCGCCGGGCCUUGGGUCUUGGCCUCCAUCGGAUGAACGAUUUCCCGUCGAAGCCAGCUGUACGGAGAGGCUAACGGCAGCGCAGCAGCUCCGCGGCGAAGGCGGGGAGGAGCCUCUCGGCCCGAGAGGAGCGUGCCGUGCCCUUCCCCGGUGCCUAUCGCGGCACACCACGCACCGACGUCUGUUCCAGCUUGCCCAGAAGUCUGCUAGGCUGGAGCAAGCCAGCACUCGCGCGUAGCUGAUGGCACAGGCCAGUUUCCAAGGAGAGAUGACACACCACAAAAUCUCCCCCCGUGUCCUGCCACACUUGGUACUGAUUUGACUGUCUCUGUGGAGAAGGCAAGGAUCAAAUGCUCCGUGGCGCCAGACUGCUUUCUUUCACAGCCUGCAGGUCACCAGGAUACUUAAGAAGUUUGCGUUAAUUAUACCAUGUUUGCCAUCAAAGAGGGGAUAUUAACCCCUUUGAGCUGUUCCAGGAAAGCAGUGGAGUGAUUUGGAAUGAGCGCAGCCUCCUUUCUGCCCUUCCUCCCUGGGAAGUCCACCGGGGCCCGGACGCCCGAGACGGCGCGCGCACUGCCAGGCUGCGCGGGGCCGUGGUGGCCACACUGCCGUGAGUUUACCCAAGCAGCUCAUCUGCAUUUUUAAGCAACAGCUGCCAACACAACAGAACAAAAUGCUUCAACCUCCCCAAGUCUGAGAGUUGGAUGUUUUUAUGCCCUGCGAUGGUUUUGGCCGUGCUCGAAGGUAGCUGCGACCCAGCCUGGUGACCGCCUGCCCCUCACCACUCGCUAGUGCAGGAUCGCCUUCCCAAGAGUCUCUUCCCAACAGUUUGACGGCCCUAGCUGUCUGCUUUGAGGAACGAUAGGGUAGUGGGGAGGGGGGGGCUGCUUUUCUUUAAAUAAAUCUUUCAUGUUAGGGAAAAGAAUGAAGAAAGUGUGUCAAAGUAAUCACUAUCUUGGGCACAUUAAAAUCCUGUAU